rnacentral:snRNA from 1 species
GCACUCUUGUUUCUCUUCAGAUCGUAUAAAUCUUUCGCCUUUUACUAAAGAUUUCCGUGGGGAGGAACAACAAGAGUUUGAUUCAAUUUUUUGAUCCCCUGCCGUAGUAGGGC